UGGGGAAUUUUGCACAAUGGGAGAAACCCUGAUGCAGCGACGCCGCGUGAUUUAGAAGGCCUUCGGGUUGUAAAAAUCUUUUCUAUGGGAAGAAAAUGACAGUACCAUAGGAAUAAGGACCGGCUAAUUACGUGCCAGCAGCCGCGGUAAUACGUAAGGUCCGAGCGUUGUCCGGAAUCAUUGGGCGUAAAGGGUACGUAGGCGGGUAAGCAAGUUAGAAGUGAAAUCCUAUAGCUCAACUAUAGUAAGCUUUUAAAACUGCUCAUCUUGAUGUAUGGAGGGAAAAGUGGAAUUCCUAGUGUGGCGGUGAAAUGCGCGGAUAUUAGGAGGAAUACCGGUGGCGAAGGCGAGUUUCUGGCCAUAACCUGACGCUCAGGUACGAGAGCGUGGGUAGCAAGCAGG
rnacentral:rRNA from 1 species